UUAUGCCAGCACCUCAUGCUGCAUCCUGGAAUGGAAAUAUUGGUCGUUUCUCUUAGGAACAACAAACUUAACUUGGAGAAGACUAAGAACUUGCCCAAAGCCAUGCAGAUUUCACGUGGUAGAACAAGACUUGAGCCAGACUCGGUUCUUUCCACACUGAACAAGUGGGUUGCAUAAGAAAGGCUGCCCUCGUGGGGAAGAUAGAGGAGGAGAAGAGGGACAGAAAGACUAUAUUCGAGCGAGAUUCACAAGGCCCAGUCAGACAAUGGAACUCAAGAGUUGAAAUCGCUGCUGUCCCAGAUAACUGUAGAGAUCUUGCCAAGAAAGGAAGUCAGGAGCUAACUAUAGAUCAAGGUGCUUGAAACUAGGGGGAAGAUUGUAGCCUGCACCCAGAUAACUGCAGAAGCAAGUGGGCUGGCCCAGUGCUGCCGGUGAAGAAGGGCAUGUGUCCUGUAGGAGGCAACCCAUGAGCUGACUUUUUGAAGGUGACUAGAGGAAGUCUGGUGCGGAAAAGAAGAACAGGAAAGGCAGAUGCUCAAGCAAGGAUGGGAUCCACUGGGACACACCCACCACCCAGGAUAUGGCUACAAUGCAUGUGGUUUCCAGGCAGCAGCCUGGAGCAAUGAGGAGUGGACCAUGCAGAGCCCUGGGCACCAGAGCAGAGCAGUCACCAAAAUCUGACUCUGAAGGUGAGGUCACACUGGCCAGGAGCAGUGACCUAGGAACCCUGACCUCAGUUGCUAUUACUAAAAGGCCACUGAUCAGGUGGGAAUCAAGGUGACUGUUGACCUUAGGGACUGGGGACAGAUAUGCUCUGGGAGACAUGCAUGGAGCUAUGAUUACAGGCACUGGACUGUAGGAGGGACCCCCAUUGAGGGUGCUUUCAAGGCACAGUGUGCCACUGUUCCCCCACCCCCCCUUUUUCACUUUUUACCUGUUUACUGUGGGUGUCCCCCCUCUAUAGCAUGGCAGCCCCAGGAAAGCAGAGCCGCUGACUCUUGUCCAGCUGUGUCCACCAAACAUCAGGCUGGCAUGUCACAGACACUUGGUCUGUGCUGAGAGGACUGAACUAGAGCAGGAAGACCCAGAGAACUUUUGGGGCCCAUAGGCCAUGUUGGAGGCAGAAGGGAUGCAGUCUAGCACAGAUGGCUUUUGGGGCGCAGUCAUUGUUCCUAUCUCAGGAGGAUUCAUUCAAGAAAUGAGGUGGGCCUGAGCUAACAGGGUGACAGCAGCAACUGGGGGUUCCACAUUAGGAGUCAGAGUGGCUGAGCUCCAUGCUGAUAGCUGGGGCACCAGGGGACCACAUUGGAGUGGGGAUGACAGGAGACAUAGGAACUUUAUUCUUUGGGUGGGGGGAAGCCGUUGGUAGUUUUUAAGCAAGGAAAGUGACAGGACUGAAUCCCUAAUUUAGAAAGAGUCAGCUGGUUGCAGUGUGCAGGCUGGAUGGGAGGAGGCAGGAUCAGGAAGUGGAGAAUCCAGGGAGAAGCCACGUCUAGAAGAAAGGUGACCAGCUGAGGACUGUGAGUUUGGGGAGGCGCAGGGGCUGUGGACAAGACUUCCUGAAGAUAAAAUUGGAGCAGAUGCAAGAGUCAGUAUUCAGGGGGACUUUGGCUAACUGGACAAUUGUAGAGGCCUCAUUCUGCUAGACUAUGCUAAAUCUUGACUUAUCCAGCUCAUAGAAGGCAAGGGAAGGGCCAAGAGGCAAAGAGGGAGUGCUGGCCACCCGUCAGGCAUACAGUACUCCUUCAGUCCUCACGGCCACCCUGGGAGGAGGACGGCCCCAUCUGACAGUAGUGGAUUUCUCUGCCUAGAGCCACAGGGCUCCAUCAGACAGAAGUCUCCCCUGUGCCCCCUGGGCUCAGGCACUCCCCAUAAAGAAACCCUCCACUGGACUUUACUGGGAACAGCUAGAAAGCUCUUACUGGGAUGUAGAUGUGAUCUGUUCCCUUCUGGUUGAGAACGCAGAGGAUGGGAAUGGGUGUAAAAAGCCUGCUCUGGCCAGCAGAAGAGCAGGGCAGAGGAGUGGAGAAGGUCUUGUCAAGGCCAUCUAGUGCUGAGUGCACUCAAGGGAGGGACCUGGUCACUUCCUCGUCUCAGCUGUGCACCUGUGCCUCACCCCAAAACCAGCUUUGAGAGUGACAGGCUGGACUAUUAGGUUAUGUGCAAUUUUUCUUCAAAUAGAACUACCAAGAUACAACCCAAAGCUACAAGGGGUAUUUAGAUUACUCUUUACUCAGCGAUGCUGUGUGCGCUUGCUCUUCUGGCCUGUCUUGGCCCCUUUGAGGCCUCCCCCUGUUCUAGACUCAGAGCAGGUUAGAAUCAGUCUACAGUUAAAUACCUACAGUUAAAUACCUACACGGUAAGGAAAAUGAUUACUCCGGUGUCAUCUAAAGAAUGGGAGCAGUAGGUGAGAUGAGACAUGUGAAGGGUUUAUUUCAAAGCCAGCACUUGGUCCUGGGAGUCAAUUCGUCCUCUAACGCAAAGCGACUGCAAGCAGAGCACCUAAGCUGCAAAACGCUCUUCUCUGCUGCCAUCUAGUGUUUAUCUUGGGAAUAACACCCUAGUGGAGGUCAGCAGAAAAAGUGCUUUCUCCAAAGACUUCUGAGCCCGGUUGAAUCUACAUAUGUAUAUUUCCUGACAUUUUGUUCUCAUAAAUCAAAAUGUUUCUGUAGGAAGGCCAAGCCAUAUUAGUUGUAUUCCCAGUUUUGAACCAAACUGUGAUUAAAUUCAUCUUUCCUUUUUAUAUUUUUCUCUCUCGUUUCUGAUGUAGGUAGGUGACCAAAUCCAGUUAGUUGGGACCCCAGCAGCCUCUGGCCUAGGCUCCAGUAACAGGGUAACUGAAGGUGGGUUCAUGGAGGUGAGACCUGAUAUAUAGGAGUUCACACAUCCUAAACGGACUGUCUUCCCACCUUGUUCUGACCUGGCCUGCCUUAUGCCCCCCUCCCCACUGGCCUCCCCAGGGCAGUUUCUGAAUCAACAGUGGGCUUUAAGAACCACUUUGAGUCACCACAUCUGGGGAGAGAGGGCUGCAAAUUAGAUAUUUAUUUUUCAAGUAAAAGACGCAAUCCAGAAGUCACAGGGAAAAGAAAAGGCAGUCAGCAGGAAGCCUGGUUAUGGAAAGACCACAGGGAGGCCCUAAGAAAGACAGCGAGGCAGGCUGAGACGUGAUCCCGGGCCCCAGCUUUGGCAUGGCAUUGGAUGGGUCCUAGGGACUCAUUUCCAGGUGCAGCAUUUGCAGGAGGCACUGAACACCAGGCCUUGGGGGCAGCUUUGCUGGAACAGCCAACCCUCUGCACAACUGUAGUAGCUGGACGGAUUCUGAGGGUUGGGGUAGAGCCCGUUGGGUUUGCCCUGGCAGAAGUUGUCUUUUCCAGGGCUGGGG